UUCUUCUUUAUUAAGGUACUACAGGGGUUUUUGGCCUCGCUGAAGUUUGGCUUUGGAGAAAUAACCUGAGAACUCGUAAUACCUAAAUGUCAACUGUAAUUUCUAAGCAUGACAUCUGUUCUUAAUGUUUUUACUUGAUCAGCCAGUGAAUUUGGUUAAUUCGCUAGCUGGUUUGAUGGAAUCUGGAGUUGAACCUCGCAGCAGUAUGUAAGCGUGUGCAAGUUUGGGACAUUGUUGAGAAUUUCAGUUGUUAAUGGAUCAGUGCAAGUACUGGCUUUCAUAGACUAGUCUAAACUAACCAUUUUUUUUAUUUGGAAAAGGCUUGUUGCAGAAGAAGAGCAGCUUUGAGGUCAAGGGAAGUAAUAAUUUACUGGUGACCUGUUAGACUGUCUGUGGAAUACUGUGUGCAGUUAUGGGCCCCCAGGUACAAACCAGACACUGAUAAACUGGAGUUCAGUGGAGGGCCAUCAGAAUGGCCAGGGAGCAAGAGUCUCUCCCUGCGCAGGAGGUGCUGAGAGAAUGAAGCUAAUUCUGCCUGAAGAUGUGGUUUUGGGGGUACCUAAUGGGAGCUUUCCCAUAUCUACAAGGAGAUCAUCCAGAGCUCUUCACUAAGAAUGAGACAGUGGUCAAAAGUUGAAGCAGGAGGUUCCAACUGCAUGUGAGAAAGCUUUCACCAUGAGGACAAGCAGCAGUGGAAAUAGGUUGCCCGA